UAGAGAAGCUUAUGGCGGAGGAACCGUACACACAUUUCAGCAGUGUAAGCUCGGGAUGAUGGCGGUUUCUGUGCAGCUGAGCUACAGUGAAAAAACACUGGACCUGGGCUCAGGAAAUCAGCUUAGAGUCUGAAUUCUGCUACUUGUCAUUUGGAUAGAGGUGUUUCUUUGAGAUCAAUUUUCACACGUGUGAAAUGGUGAUAAUUCUACGUUCUCUGCUCCGUUUCUAAGCUGGCUGUGAGGAUGGAAGGAUAACGUUGAAAGCUGGUUCUUGGUCACCUUCACCUCCCAUCAAGCAAUCUCCUCUUGCCGACA